UGUCGUUGUUGUUGCUACUUCUUCUUCUUCGUUGUUAUUGUUGUUGCUGGUUUAUUUUUAUUUGGUUUUGAUCGUGGCUCUCUUUGUUGCUUGCUCCGCUGCUGAUGUGAAGGAGUCGGAGUCGGAGUCGACGUCGAGCUUUGUGGUUGUUCACUCUUACUUCGAUGUGGCUGAGUUGGUGCUCUCUUCCUUCGCGAACUUAUUCUGUCAUUGGUCUUCCCUGUCACCACAAAAGAGAGGUUCAUGGAGGGAGGGAGGGAUCAGGGGAUUGAACGCGCGAGAGAAGUUUGAGGGAUGUGGAAUUGCGGUGUUGGCGUAAUCUGGUUUUUGGAUUUUUUUUCGUUUUGGUAUUCGUGGGUGUGAGCGAGGAGGGGGGGGGGAUGGAGCCGGGUCAGUAGUUUUGAGAGCUUUUAUAGUUUCUUACAGCUUGCGUCAGUUUUGAGCAAUUGAGGGAGUGGCUUUUGAAUGCUGGUUAUUUUUUGGAAAUUUUCGUGUGAAGAGAUGAGAUGAAAUGAGUCUUCCGGUGAAGCGGGAGCACGAGGAGACGGCGGCAGUAGUCGAGGGGGCCAGCACUCGGACUGGGAAGCCGCAACAUGUGGGAGGUGGGAGCGGAGUGAUUAUGGAGUCUGCGUUCGCGUUUGGAGGAGGAGGUGAGUCUCGUUCUACUAAAGUAGCGCGCCAUGGUGAUCGUGGAGUGGACUCUGGAGAGAAGGUAGAGCUUUUCAACAACAGUGCGCAUACGAAUUAUCAACCUGCGACUGAUGGAGGUGGCUCCGGGCCGAUUGAGGAUAUGGUUGCAGAGGGGAAGGAAGUGCAAGUGCAGACACUGAAGAUCAAGCUGAAGGACCUUGGUGGUGGGAGUGCAGAGGGGAAGAGUGAUCGAGAGGGGCGGGAUCCAAGGCGUAUGGAUUUGGAGAGGAAGACAAGUGGCGGGAAGGAUUAUGGGGAUGCGCUAAGGGAGAGUAGUGGCAACAAGGAACUUCUUGGUAAGGUAAAUAUGAAGGGCGAGGAGCAGUUGCUGCAGCAGGGAGGGAGUGGUCGGGAAGUAGGGCAAGAAUUGGUGAUUAACAGUCGGAUGGAAGGAAAUCCUGAAGGUUUGAGGAAAAAGAGCCCUCGCGAGGGCGAAGUUAAAGCAGCCGCGAAGGAUGUGCCGAUGGAUGUGAAGAAGGAAGAGCUGCGUGAGAAGGAGAAAGAGAAGAAGGAUGACACGCUUAGUGAGCGGAAAGAUGGUGUGCUGCCGACAUUACUGCAUCCGCACUUGGAUGCUAAUGCUGAGAAAGAUUAUGAGAGAGAUGAGAAGGAGAGAGAGACGGGCGACAAAGAGAAAGAGAAGAUGCGGGAGCGGGAGCGGUCGCGUGACAAGGAGAAAGAGGCAGUACGCUCGGAGAAACGGGAGAAGAGGGAGAAAGAGCGUGAUCGGGAUUCCCAUUGGCGAGAGCGAGAGGAGCGAGAUGAUAAUCUCGGUGACAAAGCGGAGAAAGAGGAGGGAAAAGGGGUCAAGGUUGAGGACGUGGAGAUGGACAGAAAGCCUGUGCGCGAGGUCGACGAGCGUAAAUUGUUCGAAAAAGAAGUGCGCGAGCGUAUGCGGGAGAGAGAUAGAGAGAAGGAGAGAGAUGAAGAGGGGGAUGGUGAGAAGCGUAAGAAACGGGGUCGCGAGUUGGACAAAGACCGUGAUUCGUUGAGCAAUAUGGACAGUGAACGUCCGGAAGGGGAUAAAGAAAAGGAUGCCGUUCAUGGCUAUGGAGUACAGCAGCGUAAGAGGAUGUUGCGUCCCAGGGGCCAGUCAAAUCCUUCUAACCGAGACCCCCGGUCACGAUUUCGGCCCAAAGACAAUGAAGGGACUCAAGGUAGGGCAGAAAGUUCGUUCAUUACUUACAGAAUUGGAGAAGGGAUGCCGGAACUCGCGAAACUUUGGAAGGAAUACGAGUCUGGUGAACGAAACAGUCCAGACAAUGGGUCGGGUCCUACCGUUGAAAUUCGUAUUCCUGCUGAGCACGCCACUACUAAUAACCGUCAGAUACGGGGUAGUCAGCUAUGGGGAACAGAUAUAUACACAAAUGACUCAGACAUUGUUGCAGUCCUGUUACAUACAGGAUACUACUCACCUUCUCCGUCUCCGCCUCCAAAUUCUAUAUUAGAGCUGCGAGCCACCGUUCGAAUUCUUGAAUCUCAAAAUAUGUACAUGUCUACGCUACGAAAUAGUAUUCGAUCGCGUGCCUGGGGAGGCGGAAGUGGGUGUAGCUACAGCGUUGAGAGGUGCCGAUUAGUGAAGCAAGGAGGGGGUACUGUAGAGCUGGAGCCAUCUUUGACUCGAACUCCUCCAUUUGUCCCAACGCUUGCGCCGGCUGCAUCAGAGCGAACUGUCACCACGAGAGCUGCAUCUUCUAGUGCAUAUCGGCAGCAAAGAUUUAUGCAGGAAGUGACAAUACAAUACAAUCUAUGCAAUGAACCCUGGGCGAAAUACAGCAUGAGCAUCGUGGCUGAUCGUGGACUGAAGAAUUCACAAUACACGUCUGCUCGACUCAAAAAAGGGGAAGUAUUAUAUGUAGAAACCCAGACUCAUAGGUAUGAAUUGGCGUAUGAUGGAGAACGUAUGACGAGUAAUGGAGCAACUACUGCCACCUCUUUCUCUCAAGGCAACUCAGGGACGGAAAAAGGUAAAGAUAAAUGGAGUUUGGGAGUUUGUGACAAAGAACCUAUUUCGCAAAUUUACAAUGGUGAGUUACCGCAUGGGAAUCAUCCAAGUAAUGGACAAACAGGUGGCCAUCACUGCCACCAUAAUAGCGAGCCACAUGAGUACUACAGAUGGUCUAAGUGUAAACGACCUCUGUCGCUAUCGUCCAUGAAACGAAAGGGUGUACCCUUGCCAGGAGAAUUUGUUGAGGUUUUGGAAGAAGGUCUGGGAUGGGAGGAAAUUCAGUGGUCUCCAACGAGUGUGUGGGUCCGGGGAACAGAGUACAUCCUCAGUAGAGCACAAUUCUUUUCUUUUGAGAAGGAUGAUAUGGAGGAAUAGGGACGAAUGUUGUCACAAGUUUUGGUAGAGCACAUCUGCCAUUUGAUUUUCAACGAUCUGCUAAGUGAUGGCAUGAUUCAUACAGGUUGAAUCAUGUCAAGUGAAGACUGUUUUGUCAUAACAGAUGUAUUUACGGGAAAUGGUGUUGGACUAUUGAUGUGGUUGUACUUGCUAUAUGCGAGUAGGACAUGAUGGUAUUAUAAUCUGACUGGGGCUUCACCGAGAAGGAACAAUUCCUUUCAUUUUUCAAGAUCUAAAGAUACACUUACUCUCUGGACAUCCAAAUUUGUACUCUGAACAGUUGAUACCAUUCGAUCGAAGCACAAUCCUCUGACGUUCUACGGUUACCUAUGCACAGUCGAGAAUUGUGCGCCAUUUCAGCACCUAACAGAACUGACACUAGCAAAUUGACCGGUUCACUUGGAAAACCUAAAUGUGAUUUCAUAUGUCUCACAAUAAACAUAUUGCUGGCUAGUUCCAGCACAAUCAAUGGAUAAACAGACAGAUGUAGGGUGUACAGGGAUGUCGGCUGCCUUGUCUGUUACUGAAAACCUUCGAUGUUGAAGCUGCAGCCUAUCCAAAAGCUUUGGUUCAAAGGGAUUUCUGUGACAGCUCUUUUCUCAUGCAAUGGCAACAAACUGUGGGACUGCAAGCGGUUUUUUGUUUCGUUUU